rnacentral:tRNA from 1 species
GGUUGUGGCUCAGUAGUAGAGCGCUUGCCUAGCAUGCAUGAGGCACUAGGUUUGAUCCCCAGCACCA